rnacentral:rRNA from 1 species
GAUGAACGCUGGCGGCGUGCCUAAUACAUGCAAGUCGAGCGAAUGGAUUAAGAGCUUGCUCUUAUGAAGUUAGCGGCGGACGGGUGAGUAACACGUGGGUAACCUGCCCAUAAGACUGGGAUAACUCCGGGAAACCGGGGCUAAUACCGGAUAACAUUUUGAACCGCAUGGUUCGAAAUUGAAAGGCGGCUUCGGCUGUCACUUAUGGAUGGACCCGCGUCGCAUUAGCUAGUUGGUGAGGUAACGGCUCGCCAAGGCGACGAUGCGUAGCCGACCUGGGAGGGUGAUCGGCCACACUGGGACUGAGACAUGGCCCAGACUCCUACGGGAGGCAGCAGUAGGGAAUCUUCCGCAAUGGACGAAAGUCUGACGGAGCAACGCCGCGUGAGUGAUGAAGGCUUUCGGGUCGUAAAACUCUGUUGUUAGGGAAGAACAAGUGCUAGUUGAAUAAGCUGGCACCUUGACGGUACCUAACCAGAAAGCCACGGCUAACUACGUGCCAGCAGCCGCCGUAA